UACGUAGGGUGCAAGCGUUGUCCGGAAUUAUUGGGCGUAAAGAGCUCGUAGGCGGUCUGUCGCGUCGGCUGUGAAAACCCGGGGCUCAACCCCGGGCCUGCAGUCGAUACGGGCAGACUAGAGUGCGGUAGGGGAGACUGGAAUUCCUGGUGUAGCGGUGAAAUGCGCAGAUAUCAGGAGGAAUACCGAUGGCGAAGGCAGGUCUCUGGGCUGACACUGACGCUCAUGCACGAAAGCGUGGGGAGCAAACAGG
rnacentral:rRNA from 1 species